UACAGAGGGUGCGAACGUUGCUCGGAAUUACUGGGCGUAAAGGGCGCGUAGGCGGCCAACUAAGUCGGACGUGAAAUCCCUCAGCUUAACUGGGGAACUGCGUCCGAUACUGGAUGGCUUGGAUUUGGGAGAGGGAUGCGGAAUUCCAGGUGUAGCGGUGAAAUGCGUAGAUAUCUGGAGGAACACCGGUGGCGAAGGCGGCAUCCUGGACCAAUAUUGACGCUGAGGAGCGAAAGCUAGGGGAGCAAACGGG
rnacentral:rRNA from 1 species